AUGGUCCUGCCAGUGCGCCGCCGCCCGCCGCCGGUGAACGCCCUCCGCAAGGACUGCCACCGGCCCCUCUGCUUCGGCGCUCCCCGGCCGCUCCCGGCCCUCUGCCUAGUCGCCAGGGACGUGGUGCUCCUCGCCUGCUCCAGCCAGCCCCCCGCGCCGGCUCUGGCGGUCUGCUCCGACCUCUCCCGGUGGUGCUCGCCUGCUCGGGCGGACUCUGCCACCCAGGACUUCCCGUGA
rnacentral:rRNA from 1 species